rnacentral:piRNA from 1 species
UGAGAAUCUCUUUGAAUUGGUGUUUUGGU